GGUUGCGAUCAUACCAGCACUAAUACACCGGAUCCCAUCAGAACUCCGUAGUUAAGCGUGCUUGGCGAGAGUAGUACUAGGAUGGGUGACCCUCUGGGAAGUCCUCGUGUUGCGACCC
rnacentral:rRNA from 1 species